rnacentral:rRNA from 1 species
CCACAAAGAUUUCAACAAAGGGAUGCAAAAAUGAAAAUUAGAGCUAAUCCUUAAAUAAAAUCAUAGUUCAGAUAAGAAUCUGGAACUCGAUUCUUUGAAGACGGAAUUGCUAAUAAUCGUCUAUCAGCAUGAGACGGUGAAACGCCCAUCUGUAAUGUACUAACUACUCGUCAAGCGCGGAAAUUUAUAGGGGAUACUAAAUUUUACGACUAUUUCCUAGAGAUCUGUGCUAAG